rfam:Vigna angularis cultivar Jingnong 6 scaffold291_209, whole genome shotgun sequence.
AUACCUUUCUCGGCCUUUUGGCUAAGAUCAAGUGUAGUAUCUGUUCUUAUCAGUUUAAUAUCUGAUAUGUGAACUAUUAGUUCACACGAUAUUAAAUUAAUUUUUUAAGGGAGAGAACCAUUUGAGUAGCUUGCUACUUUGUUUCUCGAGCAUUGCCUUUGUUUUGCACUGAUGCAAAGGCCAGGUGCAUCCCAC